rnacentral:misc_RNA from 1 species
GAAAGUGCGAAACGUAAUGUGAAUUGCAGAAUUCAGUGAAUCAUCGAAUCUUUGAACGCAUCUUGCGCUCCUUGGUAUUCCGAGGAGCAUGCCUGUUUGAGUGUCGUGAAGUCUCUCGACUCUCACCCUUUGUCAAAAGGGGGUGAGAGGUCGGAUUUGGAUGCUGCUGCGCUUUGGUGUGGCUCGUCUCUAAAUGCAUUAGCUGUUUCCACCUCGGUCUACGAAUAACGGUGUGAUAAGAAAUGACUUGCGCCGCGAUCGUUACGGGAAGGGAUGGCUUACAAUCGUCCCCUCGGGACAAACUCUACGUCAUCUGACCUCAAAUCAGGUAGGACUACCCGCUGAACUUAA